GGCUGGAGCGUCCGGUCCGCCUCGCAAGGGGUGUGUCGCCGGUAGUCUUGGGCCAUCCUUGGGGCGAUGCCCGCUGGCAUUGAGUUGUCGGCGGGUGACUCCCCCAUCGUUUACUGUGAAAAAAUUAGAGUGUUUAAAGCAGGCUUACGCCUUUGAAUACAUUAGCAUGGAAUAAUAAGAUAGGACUUUGGUGGUCUAUUUUGUUGGUUUGCACACCAAGGUA
rnacentral:rRNA from 1 species